UACGGGGGGAGCAAGCGUUGUUCGGAUUUACUGGGCGUAAAGGGCGCGUAGGCGGCGCAACAAGUCACUUGUGAAAUCUCCGGGCUUAACCCGGAGCGGCCAAGUGAUACUGUCGUGCUAGAGUGCGGAAGGGGCUACUGGAAUUCUCGGUGUAGCGGUGAAAUGCGUAGAUAUCGAGAGGAACACCUGCGGCGAAGGCGGGUUGCUGGGCUGAUACUGACGAUCAGGUGCGAAAGCGUGGGGAGCAAACAGG
rnacentral:rRNA from 1 species